ACGGCAUUCGAAUCCGCGUACGUACGGUGCCGCCGCGUUCCUCACUGACUGGUGGAUUUCUGUGCUUUCUCGAUUGUGUGACACGCAGCCAGUCAGCUGCCGGUCCGCCAGCGACCCGCGCGGCCACCCUCUAUCGUGGGAACUGUGUUGCUCCGCAGUCGUUGAUUCGGCGUGUGUCUGAUGUGCGUGUGGAUGUGUUCGUAGCUUUCAUCAGUGCAAACGAAACCAAUCUCAUAAUGAAGAGGAGAAAAUUAAUGAAUCGAAAAUUAUGAAAUCCAAUAAUAAUAAAUUACGUGAAGCAGCCCGGCGCAAAGAAUCUAUUACGGUGAAUUUAUUCCCUCGCAGGGCAGUGCAGAAAAGUCUUUGUAAUAAGUGAACAAAGUGGACGAAGAGAAAUUGAAGCCAAAAGUUACUGCUGGGCGUCAGAAUAUCAACGAGGGCGCCGGGCGGGGUGGGAUACGGCCGGCAAGGAUGUGGGCGCCCAAAGUGGUCCCCUGUCGAAUAGGAUGGGUCCGACCCGAGCAGCCGCCCGCCAUCGGAGAACCACUUUGGCCGUUGCUGGUGGUCCGGAAUGCAGCAGGAUGUCGGUGAAAAGAGCGCCGCCACCUAGUGAAAAUGUGAAACGGCUUGGGGGUCGACGAACUUGCGUACGAGUUUUCCAGAUUGUUGUGCAUUUGUAGUCUCGAGCGAAGGAAGCGUCGGCCAUGCAAAUGGGCCUAUUUCGGUAGAACGGACGGGAGCAACGAAAUUGAUAGUGGCCGUGCAGUUUAUUUUGCUGCUGCUGCUGCUGCUGUGUACUCUAUAAUUGUGCGCAAACGAGACGGUGAAAACAUGGUGUGGAAGAAACUUUUCCGAGGAAAAUUGCAGCAGAUAAUCGUGCAGUCAGGCAGUAAAUGGGAUUUAUCGCGAAGCAAGUGGGCCAGGUGAUCGGAAAUGUGAACAAAAACUGUUGAAGGGGCGCAAUCCAGUGGCGGGGUUCCAGAAGUAAGACCAGUUUGAAGAAUGAAAGGUUUUGUGAACGUUAACCUCCGAUACGGCCGAAGAUGAAGAAAGAUGUAUUGGUACUAAUUUAGGAUAAUCGGAUAAUGGGCAUAAAAAUGUUAGUCAUGCGGACGCCAGCUACAAAGGACGUUCAGGCUGCGGUAUGAUGCAGCACCAUAUAGCUUGUCUGUGAUAUGUAACUAGAUGUGAGGGAUUUCAUUCGACGAAGGUAGAUUGCGUUGAUUAGGAGGAAACUUACCUUCACCACAGAAAAAAAAGAAUAUCACUGUCAAUUGUUCUUCCAAUCCAAUCCGAAAAUAUACGCCAGCUUCUGCUCUUCUGUAUAUACAUCGUCGUUCUCUCAAAAAGCCAACGAACAAACAUCCCCAACAUGUCACCCCGGUGACAUCUG